rnacentral:misc_RNA from 1 species
CAAUUAUCAGAAAAGUAAUCUGGAGGUGCCAACUUGGUGAGUUACUGUAUUCCAUAGAGAAACCAAGAAAGAGGGAGAGAUAUUUUAUUUAUAACAUAAUACAGAGGAGAGCCACAGAGCACUAGAAAAGCUUGUACACAGCCCCAAACAGAGCGAGAGAUAGAAAAGAGAGAGUGUUGCUAUGGCUGCUAGGAGGAUAUCUGGGGUGCUCUCUCGCUUCUUUCCUCUGGUUCUGCUUCUGCUUUUUUUUCAGGAGGGAGGAAUUCUAGCCUUGGCAGAGGAAUCAGCAGAUAUAGUAACGCUGCAGCUGCUACUGCUGCUGAGGGACCAAUAAUUCCAUCUGUAGCUGUGAAUUAUACCCAACUUUUAAUUAAUGGGCAGUUUGUUGAUGCAGCCUCAGGGAAGACUUUUCCAACAUGUGACCCUAGGACAGGGGAAGUGAUUGCCAAUGUUGCUGAAGGUGAUGUUGAAGAUAUAAAUCGAGCAGUCUCUGCUGCUCGCAAAGCGUUUGAUAAUGGACCAUGGCCAAAGAUGACUGCUUAUGAAAGGUCAAAGAUUAUGCUGCACUUUGCUGAUUUGAUUGAAAAGCAUAAUGAUGAAAUUGCAACACUUGAGACUUGGGAUAAUGGGAAACCAUAUGACCAGGCUGCUAAAAUUGAAGUACCAAUGGUUGCACGAAUAUUUCGAUACUACGCUGGUUGGGCGGAUAAGAUUCAUGGUCU